rnacentral:lncRNA from 1 species
CAGUGUAGAAAAGAAGACAAGAAUUCUAGGGUAAAGCAAUCCUGUUAAACACACAAGGACAAAUGGGAGAACAUGAUUUUUGAGAGAUCUGUGAGCAGCUGGGUGUGGCUAAAACCUAAAGGGUCCUGACUGUAGAUGAGGAGAAGAAAGAAGACGGAGAAGGAAAAUGGAUUCUGAUGUGAAUGUCUCUGUAGGAGGCCGUACGGGGGUUCGGUCUUCUCCUGCAGACAAUGCAGAGACCUUGGACAUUCAUAAUCAGAGCUAUUUUGGAAAGAUCUCCCUCAGAAUACUCUGACAAGCAUUGUCCGUAUCACGGCCUUCUGUGCACAUGUGUUUCUUCCUAUACUGAUUUGUAAACUCGUUGCAAGUCAUGGCUGCAUUUGUCUUAGUUUUCCUUCCCUGUAACUUAAGUUUUCAAAAAAAUUUUUAUAGUUAAAUUAGGUUGGACUGAAUUGAGACCACAAAAUUCUAUGAAAUGAUGGAACUUUUAUGUAACAGGCAUAUUUAUAUUAAAGAUAUAUUUAAGACAAAUAAAAUACUAAUUUACAUGUUCUAUUGUGGAAUUUAAAUAAGCAUGUAUUCAUUCUAAUACCUCAUAUGCACAUGCUUUUUAGAACACCAUACUCAGGCAUUCAAAAACAACCUGAAUUUGAAGGUGUGUUCUCAUGUGAGGGUUAAUUUUAUGUGUCAACUUAACUGGGCCAUGAGAUGCCCAGAUAGCCGUUAAAACAUGAUUUCUGGGUGUGUCUGUGAGGGUGUUUCUGGAAGAGAUGAGCAUUUGAAUCAGUGGACUGAGUGAAGAUCAUGGGCUGGCCUCAUCCAAUCCUCUGCAGGCCUGAAUAGAGCAAAAGGUGGAGGAAGGUUGAAUUCCCUCUCUGCCUGAUGGUGGGGCUGGAACGCCAGUCUUCUCUUGCCCUUGGCUUUCUGGCUCUUUGGCCUUUGAACGAAGCCACUGGCUUUCCCGGAUCUCUGCCUUGCAGAUGACAGGCUGUGGGACAUUGCAGCUUUCACGAUCACGUGAACCAACACCUCACAGGAAAUCUCACUGGAGCUCUUUCUCCAGUCUUCAGACAGAAGGUUCUCUGUUAGGCACAAGAACAAGCUGUCCCAGCCUUGCUGUUUGUGCUGGAAAGGGCCUUAUUGGAGACGCUCCACGUUGCAGAAUCCACACUCCACGUUACAGAAUCCACACUCCACGUUACAGAGUCCACACUCCACGUUACAGAGUCCACACUCCACGUCAGAGUCCACACUCCACGUUACAGAGUCCACACUCCACGUUACAGAAACCACACUCCACGUUACAGAGUCCACACUCCACGUUAGAGUCCACACUCCACGUUACAGAGUCCACACUCCACGUUACAGAAUCCACACUCCACGUUACAGAGUCCACACUCCACGUUACAGAGUCCACACUCCACGUUACAGAUUCCACACUCCACGUUAGAGUCCACACUCCACGUUAGAGUCCACACUCCACGUUACAGAGUCCACACUCCACGUUACAGAGUCCACACUCCACGUUAGAGUCCACACUCCACGUUACAGAGUCCACACUCCACGUUAGAGUCCACACUCCACGUUAGAGUCCACACUCCACGUUACAGAGUCCACACUCCACGUUACAGAAUCCACACUCCACGUUACAGAGUCCACACUCCACGUUAGAGUCCACACUCCACGUUACAGAGUCCACACUCCACGUUAGAGUCCACACUCCACGUUACAGAGUCCACGCUCCACGUUACAGAAUCCACACUCCACGUUACAGAGUCCACACUCCACGUUACAGAGUCCACACUCCAUGUUACAGAAUCCACACUCCACGUUACAGAAUCCACGCUCCACGUUACAGAGUCCACACUCCACGUUAGAGUCCACACUCCACGUUACAGAGUCCACACUCCACGUUACAGAAUCCACACUCCAC